rnacentral:rRNA from 1 species
AUUGAACGCUGGCGGUAGGCCUAACACAUGCAAGUCGAACGCGAAAGUCCUUCGGGAUGAGUAGAGUGGCGGACGGGUGAGUAACGCGUAGGAAUCUAUCCUGUAGUGGGGGAUAACGUUUCGAAACGUACGCUAAUACCGCAUGCGCCCUUCGGGGGAAAGUCGGGGACCGCAAGGCCUGACGCGAUUGGAUGAGCCCAUGUUCGAUUAGCUAGUUGGCGGGGUAACGGCCCACCAAGGCGACGAUCGAUAGCUGGUCUGAGAGGAUGAUCAGCCACACUGGAACUGAGACACGGUCCAGACUCCUACGGGAGGCAGCAGUAGGGAAUAUUGGACAAUGGGCGCAAGCCUGAUCCAGCCACGCCGCGUGAGUGAAGAAGGCCCUCGGGUUAUAAAGCUCUUUUGUUGGGGAAGAAAAGCAGUUGGUUAAUACCCGAUUGUUCUGACGGUACCCAAAGAAUAAGCACCGGCUAACUUCGUG